UACGUAGGGUGCAAGCGUUAAUCGGAAUUACUGGGCGUAAAGCGUGCGCAGGCGGCUUUGCAAGACAGAUGUGAAAUCCCCGGGCUUAACCUCGGGAACUGCAUUUGUGACUGCAUGGCUAGAGUGCGGCAGAGGGGAUGGAAGUUCCGCGUGUAGCAGUGAAUGCGUAGAUAUGCGGAGGAACACCGAUGGCGAGGCAAU
rnacentral:rRNA from 1 species